GGACGGAUGGCCGAGUGGUUUAAGGCAGCGGUCUUGAAAACCGCCAACCUGCAAGGGUUCGUGGGUUCGAAUCCCACUCCGUCCG
rnacentral:tRNA from 1 species